GUGUCAGUGCCCAGCAUCCCUCUACUCUCAAUUACCAAUUGUGAUAAACUUUUCUAUUUUUCAGAUGGAGAAUUGUUGUUCAUGGUGGAAUUGAUGGGUUCUCCCGGCUAAUUGUGUACUUGAGUGCUGCCACAAACAACCGGGCCACAACUGUUUUGGACUGCUUCCUGUCUGCAGUUGAGCAAUUUGGCCUUCCUUCAAGAGUGAGGUCUGGCAAGUGUGGUGAAAAUAUCGAGGUGGCACAUUACAUGGUCAGCAGGCAGGGGGAGAACCGGAAUUCUCACAUCACAGGAAGGAGUGUGCAUAAUCAGAGGAUGCAUGGAAUCACCAUGGUCUCCGCACAGCUGGCAAUCAAUCACCUUUGCAGUUGUGGUUACGCAACCAAAGAGAGGGAGAAAGGGAAGAUCCUCCACAGGUUGAUCAAGAGUAUGGUGUGGACUGGGCAGGAUCCUAUAACCACCAUGCAGU